GCCUUCGUAGUGUAGUCUUCAGCACGCUGGGCUCUUAUUCCAGAGGUCCGUGGUUCGAUUCCCGGCGAAGGCG
rnacentral:tRNA from 1 species